UUAUACUGUAUAUUAACUGCAGUUACACUUGUCAACAAUAGAUGGUGACAGUGUAUUUGUGUCUCGUUUAACCUACAUUGUGAGUCAAUGUGCCAGUCAGUUGAGCUACGGUUAUUACCAUUUUGAAUCUCUCGUAACUUCCCUGUAGGAGAAGAUUGGUCAAAUGCAGAGCUAUGACGAGUAGGCCUAGUCUAUAAGGUAUUUCCAUAUUUAAAAUAUAAUUAAAGCGAAAGGAAAUUCUGAUCACAAAUACAUAGGUUAGCCUACAUACAUAAUAUCUUUCUGCAGUCCCCUAUAUAGGUUUUCUUCAAGGUAAGAGCUUCUAAUCUUUGUCAAGUAGGUCAAUAUCUAAUCUAAUAGGCAUAGCAUAACAUAUUUAUCGGCAUAUGGUAGCUUAAUCUUUGAGUUAAAGGGAAAACAUAAUUUAGGUCUACUUGUAUGACUUUUGUGAUGCAAUUAUUAGGAAAAAUCCAUCAUAAUCAAUAAUGUAAGCCCGAAGAGCUAGGGUAAACCAUUUUUUCCCCAAUUAAAAAGUAGGCCUAACUACCUAGACUAAUUAUUGUAGGCUAUAAAUUAUUAAACUCCAAUCAUAUAUAUUGAUUUUAUUCAGUUAAAUUCUUCAAUUCAGUUGCUUCCCAUUCCGUAGGUUCUAAAACACCCACAAGGUGUCCGUCUCUCUCUGUCUCAGGUCCAGCAUGGAUAAAUUGAGAGAUUAAGACGUUUCUGACGGAUGUCCUGUCAGCGGACCCCAGUCACAUCCUUCAGCAUGUAGAUGAGCAGAAACUUGUGACUUUACGCGAAUACAGGAAGCUGCAAAUCUUCAGUAAAUCAGCCCCGGAAGAUUCUAUCAUCCGUUUGCUGGAUACACACAUCAGUAAAGACGCGACAUAGCCCCGGCACCCAGCAACCCCAUACGCUGUCCCAACCUCUUCCUCCACAGUCCACACCCCAGGCCCAACCACAGGUUCAACCUUCCAACUACCUUCCAAAGACGUCGAUCACCUGGUGGGAAAGACUAUGAGAAAAAAAUCCACAGCUUGUGGAUACAUCUGUGGCGUUUCAGAGUUGAAGAUGGGAUACCUGGGUUAAGCUGAAGGGAAUCUCAUUUGAGAAACUUGGCAUAAACAAGUACAAAGACGGCAUAAAGUUCACAAACAAAUCCAAAUUGACUUUCAUGAAACGCAAAAAGCCUACAGAAGGAAGCCACCGCUGAGCAAAUAUAAGAAAUAUUUUGAAUUAAAGAUGCAUAGACCUACUACGUCAGAACACGCUCUCUCACUGACAGUGUGGAGUUCAAUGUUCUGACCAAAGGGAAUUAAGCCUACAUUAUGUAAAUACGUUGUUUUAUUUGAAGUAGCCAUUAGAGCUGCACCGUGACAGCAAUCACCAUAUCUAACCACUUGCAGUAGGCCUACUGCAGCUUACAGGAAAUUGAGUAGCUAUAGAUUGACUGUGUAUUAGCCUACAGUUUGUGAAAUAACUAUUCCAAACACAACAUAGCAUGUAGCCUAGUGCCAUCUACACAUUGCAUUGGGCAAAACAACCAGCGUUUUAACAUUCAUUUGCAACUGUUAUUUCGCUUCUUAAUGUUUACUUAGUAGCCAGUUCCACCACUGGGCGGCUAAUUUAUGUUCAUGAUACUAUAUAACCUAUUAUUAGUAACCGAAUACAAUCAGAAUGUAAUAAAAGUUUAGAAAUGUGUACUUUUAGACAUUAACCCCAUUUGGUCUCAUUUUUUUAUUAUUUUGGCCCUGUGAAGUGGCCACUUCAGUGCACAGUCAUCAUGAUCUACAAUAACUUGUUUUAAAAUAGUCAUGUGGUCAUCAUGGUACACAACACAUGCCUGCCUCUGGGUCUUUCUGAACAUAGUCCAAUGACGUAUAAACACAAUAGCCUUGUCCAAUAGUGUGUGGGCAAAGGGUACAUCAGUUGUUCAUUGCCCUUUAUUCAGUAGUACUUAAAAUACUGAGGUUCUUGCAGUUUAGUUUGUAAACAUCUUGAAUACCAAGAUAUUUGGUGGCAUCCUCAGACGAUGGGAGUACUUCACCUGCAGGGCUUCUUUUUGAACAAAACAGAACACACAAUCACUCACGGCCCCACAAAUAUGUUAUGUCCAUAGUCUACUGUAUAUUAGUAAUAAUAUAGCAGUAAACUCAAAUGAUAAAAUCAGCAAAUGCUUGGAAACAAAAUAAAUAAGCAAAGAGAAGGACAAUGGAAAGAAACAAGUUAGGAAGACAGACACUGGGGAGUUUGUAAAUGUUGUCACGUCACUGGACAGGCACUGGGACUACACAACACACAGACACAUUGAAUAUUAGGGAAAAAUGGUUUAAUUUUGGAGACAGAGGCAAAGAAACACACCACACAUGAACAAACAUUUACCAAAUAAAACAUUGACUGAUUUCGAACUACACACCACUGCUUCUAUGGGAAAAAUAGAAAUAUCUACCAACAGGUAAAGGAAAAAGCCCAGAAACUAAACAAAUAUUAAACUAAGACAUUUAUCUAUCCAUACAAGUUGUCUAUAAUAAGCCCAGAUGGUCAUUUUUAAUAACCAUGUGGACAGAGCACGGCACUAACAUGAAACUGACCACGAUUUUAGAGGAUCCCCACCCCCCCCCCCAA